rnacentral:rRNA from 1 species
UACGGGGGGAGCAAGCGGUGUUCGGAUUUACUGGGCGUAAAGGGCGCGUAGGCGGUCAGCACAAGUCAGUUGUGAAAUCUCCGGGCUUAACUCGGAAAGGUCAACUGAUACUGUGCGACUAGAGUGCAGAAGGGGCAACUGGAAUUCUCGGUGUAGCGGUGAAAUGCGUAGAUAUCGAGAGGAACACCUGCGGCGAAGGCGGGUUGCUGGGCUGACACUGACGCUGAUGCGCGAAAGCCAGGGGAGCGAACGGG